GCUUAGGCAGUCAGAUUGUGCACGGCUUGACCCAACAAAUUGGCCAUGGCCAUGGACAAGGACAAGGACAACAUGGCUACCCACCUCAGGGCUAUCCGCCUCAGGGUUAUCCACCGCAAGGCUACCCACCGCAAGGUUAUCCACCUCAGGGUGGCUAUGGUUACCCCCCUGCGGCACCUCCAGGUUACCCGCAAACCCAUGGUUCACAUGGUAGCUCACAAAGUGGUUCCCAUGGAGUUGGUGGAGUUGGUGCGUAUCUAUCCCCAAUUGACUAGUGAAUGAUUUUUAUGUGUACUUAUCAAGGUUGAUAAGUUAUGAUUCGAUCAUGGGCUACUGGCGCAUUGUAAGUCGUGUUUGGUUAGGAUCCAGUGUGAGCACAUGCAGGUAUGUGACUUGCAGCAUCACGAGUGUUUUUGGGGAUUUUACGGCUUCAGUGAUAUCGAAAAUUCUCAGUGGAGAAUGUAUUUGUUUCGGAGGCUGUGCGUGAUCUUUAAAUCCAUUUUGUUUCUGCAGGGGG
rnacentral:lncRNA from 1 species